rnacentral:lncRNA from 1 species
UAAGAUUUAUCAUUUCUGUACGUUGAACUUACUAAGUUUCAAUAAGCUUACUUGUGUUAAUCUCUGUUUCUUGUAGAUACUUUUGAAGGUUGGACGAUUGGAUCAUCAAUCAAGUCACACUAUCCAUCAGAUUUCAGUAGUUUUUGAACGUUUAUUUUGGAUUAUAUGGCAUGUAAUAUGCUUGUUUUGUCAUUACUAUUGUUUGGAUAUGUAAAUCUAUAAAGAAUGAGCCUAAGUGUAAGUAGAUAACUUAUUGUGAUAUUUAUGAAUGAAGG